GCAUUGGUAGUUCAGUGGUAGAAUUCUCGCCUGCGAUGUGGUCGAGAGGCCCGGGUCCGAUUCCCGGCCAAUGCA